AAGGAAGCAUAUGAUGUGUGAAACAUAUGGCCCUGCAUAUGUAUGAAGUUUGGAUGAGAAUAUGCUUCACAAAAUAGUAAUGUAUUUUUAUUUUUUAGUGAAGGGGGUGACGAGGCAAAGAAGGCCAGAAAUUCACACUAAAAACAAGAAGUGGAAUCUCCUUCCCCUUGUCUGCUUGGCUUUCUCCCGUGAGGGGAAAAAGACAACCUAUGAAGUUCCUGAUAGAGUUGAGGUGGAGCAAUAAGUACAGAUUUUUCUGAGUCUUCCACAGACACCAGAGCAGCCAUGUGGCAGAACUCUGUGGCCUCUAUGCUUCAUUGAAGAUGAGUCUCCAGACCAGGCCUACAAAGGUGGCCUGGAUGACAGUGAUGGAAGAGGCCAGGGUAAUGGGAUUGAUGAUUAUAAUAUUCCAAUGGCUCUGGCACCCAACCCAAAAGGUACAGAUGGGCUGCUGCAACUAUAUCAACCUAUAGUUUGCAGUAGCAGUUGGUGGGUACGAUGGGGAGGGGAGAUUGUACCGUAGCCAAGACCAUGAACUGGAUUUUGAACCUUGCACUUUACUCACCAAAUUUCUUAUUAGACUGUCAGCAGGAGAAGUGAAUUUCAUCAACUCUUUUUUUUUUGCUUUAAAGUUUACCAUCAGGUCUUUCUGAAAAGUAAAAUCUUCAGACUAUCCUAAUACAACUACUUGUCACUUUUCUGACCUGCUACAAAAAUGUUGACAUGUGAAUAUAUUCCCACCACUCUUUACCUUGAAGAUGAAAACUACUUUGGUAGUACUUUUCCUCCUUUGAAUGUCAAUACUUUUUACAAUCAGUUGCUUUGAUUUAGAAAUGAAACUGAAUCAAUUUUCCUGAUCCAAUCUCCCCUGAAUUUUCAGGGAAGGACUAGGAAAUAAAAUUUGGAUCUAUAUCUGCGUUUUAAGGCA
rnacentral:lncRNA from 1 species